GAUGAACGCUGGCGGCGUGCUUAACACAUGCAAGUCGAACGAAGCACCUCUCCCGACGAUUGACACAGCUUGCUGUAGAUUGAUUCAUUUGAGGUGACUGAGUGGCGGACGGGUGAGUAACGCGUGGGUAACCUGCCUCAUAGAGGGGGACAACAGUUGGAAACGACUGCUAAUACCGCAUAGUAAGAAGAAUUCGCAUGUUUUCUUCUUGAAAGAUUUAUCGCUAUGAGAUGGACCCGCGUCUGAUUAGCUAGUUGGUAAGGUAACGGCUUACCAAGGCGACGAUCAGUAGCCGGCUUGAGAGAGUGAACGGCCACAUUGGGACUGAGACACGGCCCAAACUCCUACGGGAGGCAGCAGUGGGGAAUAUUGCACAAUGGGGGAAACCCUGAUGCAGCGACGCCGCGUGAGUGAAGAAGUAUUUCGGUAUGUAAAGCUCUAUCAGCAGGGAAGAUAAUGACGGUACCUGACUAAGAAGCCCCGGCUAACUACGUGC
rnacentral:rRNA from 1 species